AGCGAACGCUGGCGGCAGGCCUAACACAUGCAAGUCGAACGGACCCUUCGGGGUUAGUGGCGCACGGGUGCGUAACGCGUGGGAAUCUACCCUUGGGUUCGGAAUAACAGUGAGAAAUUACUGCUAAUACCGGAUGAUGUCGAAAGACCAAAGAUUUAUCGCCCAGGGAUGAGCCCGCGUAGGAUUAGCUAGUUGGUGAGGUAAAGGCUCACCAAGGCGACGAUCCUUAGCUGGUCUGAGAGGAUGAUCAGCCACACUGGGACUGAGACACGGCCCAGACUCCUACGGGAGGCAGCAGUGGGGAAUAUUGGACAAUGGGCGAAAGCCUGAUCCAGCAAUGCCGCGUGAGUGAUGAAGGCCUUAGGGUUGUAAAGCUCUUUUACCCGGGAUGAUAAUGACAGUACCGGGAGAAUAAGCCCCGGCUAACUCCGUGCCAGCCGCCGCAGUAA
rnacentral:rRNA from 1 species